AGGAAUUAUGAUGAUUGUGUUCGGGUGAUGCGGUCUGUUGACGAUUUGACGGUAAUCGGGAACUUGUGUUCGUUGACGAUUUGAAGGUAAUCGGGAACUUGUGGUCGUCGGUUGUCGACGAUCAGGAAUUAUGAUGAUUGGAUUGACAUUCGUACUGGUUGGGCAGCUCGUUGAGGGUAGAUUCGGCAACCGAUGCGUUCGUGUAGAUGGUUCGGGGUUCGUUCGUGUUCGACA